rnacentral:tRNA from 1 species
CGACCUUUAGCUCAGUUGGUAGAGCGGAGGACUGUAGUGGGAUUGUAAGUCUCAAUGGUCGCUGGUUAGAAUCCGGCAGGUCGG